AGAGUUUGAUCCUGGCUCAGGAUGAACGCUAGCUACAGGCUUAACACAUGCAAGUCGAGGGGCAGCAUUUUAGUUUGCUUGCAAACUGAAGAUGGCGACCGGCGCACGGGUGAGUAACACGUAUCCAACCUGCCGAUAACUCCGGAAUAGCCUUUCGAAAGAAAGAUUAAUACCGGAUGGCAUACGAAUAUCGCAUGAUAUUUUUAUUAAAGAAUUUCGGUUAUCGAUGGGGAUGCGUUCCAUUAGUUUGUUGGCGGGGUAACGGCCCACCAAGACUACGAUGGAUAGGGGUUCUGAGAGGAAGGUCCCCCACAUUGGAACUGAGACACGGUCCAAACUCCUACGGGAGGCAGCAGUGAGGAAUAUUGGUCAAUGGGCGCGAGCCUGAACCAGCCAAGUAGCGUGAAGGAUGAAGGCUCUAUGGGUCGUAAACUUCUUUUAUAUGGGAAUAAAGUUUUCCACGUGUGGAAUUUUGUAUGUACCAUAUGAAUAAGGAUCGGCUAACUCCGUGCCAGCAGCCGCGGUAAUACGGAGGAUCCGAGCGUUAUCCGGAUUUAUUGGGUUUAAAGGGAGCGUAGGUGGAUUGUUAAGUCAGUUGUGAAAGUUUGCGGCUCAACCGUAAAAUUGCAGUUGAAACUGGCAGUCUUGAGUACAGUAGAGGUGGGCGGAAUUCGUGGUGUAGCGGUGAAAUGCUUAGAUAUCACGAAGAACUCCGAUUGCGAAGGCAGCUCACUAGACUGUUACUGACACUGAUGCUCGAAAGUGUGGGUAUCAAACAGGAUUAGAUACCCUGGUAGUCCACACAGUAAACGAUGAAUACUCGCUGUUUGCGAUAUACAGUAAGCGGCCAAGCGAAAGCAUUAAGUAUUCCACCUGGGGAGUACGCCGGCAACGGUGAAACUCAAAGGAAUUGACGGGGGCCCGC
rnacentral:rRNA from 1 species